rnacentral:lncRNA from 1 species
GAAAUAAGGUUUUUAUAUAGGUAUUGACAAAUGUGAAUUCCUUUUUAUAUAGGAAAUUUUAAUGUGGCUGAGCACAUCCAAGAAAACAAAGCUGGGAAGGCUACUAGCCAUGUUCUAAUGGGCCUUGCUUUGAUCAUAAUGGGCCGUGCUAUAUUGCUCUAAUAUUUAGGUUUUUAUUUUUUUAAGGAAUGCUCUAAUAUUUAGGUUAAUAAAGUGAUAAAAGUGAUUUGUGUUUGUAUGUGUACUAAUUUACGUAUUUAAUGGAUUAUACAAAUGAAAUGAAUUUAAGUGUUUUUUUUUAAUGAAUUCAAGUUAUGUAGUUGUAGUCAUUAUGUGAUGUAUUUCAAAAAAAAAAAA